rnacentral:lncRNA from 1 species
GCCUCCUAGAUAGUGGGGUUACAGGCCUGUGUCACCACAUCCAGCUUCAGAUUGGCUUCUUUCACUCCAUAAGUUUCUUCCAUGUCUUUUCACAGCUCCAUAGCUAUUUUAUUUUCAGUUGUUGUUGGUGUUGUUGUUUGUUAGUACAUGCUUGUAGCACACAAUGACCAGAUUCCUGCACACUGCAAUCGAUUCAGCAAUCUGCAUUUAGUACCAGCUCUGUGCCAGGCACUCGAAAGGCCACAGGGAUGAAAAGACAUGUGAGCAUUGGAUGUGAUCCCUCUUGAGUAGCUAGUAGUGUUUCAGCCAAGUACUAGGGUGAGGGCAGGUGCGCAUGUGUAUGCUUGCAGGAGUUCAAGUGUAGAGAGAAGGAAAGUAGGUUUCAUCCCUGCAUGCUCACUCACAGGCUCUGGGUACCUGGAGGGUCCAAGGUAGCCCCCACAAAUUCAUAGCUAGCUCAUGUAUGGCCAGUCUAUUUGAGUGUGUAUUCCAUUUCCUAGAGAAAUCAAAGGUCUGUGAAAUGUAGGACUGCUCUUGGGUCCUGGCAUAAUGCUCUUGGCCUGAUGAUGUCACAAGAUUUGUUGUAAACCAAUUCUGAAAGUCUUCAGGAAGCAUCUCUACUGUCAAAGAAACAAGGAAGGAGAAAUGCCCAUCCUACACUGUCCUAGCCAGAACAGGCCAUUAUACCCACAGUCAGAGGACAUUCGUCAUGAGAUGCCCACUGCAAGAGCCUAUCAUGCCAUUAAAUAUCAGUUCAGCUCCUACAUUGGGAGGGCACUACAUGGAGGUCCCUCCAUCACCUGCUUCUUUCCUCAAACACUACCUACGAUGGCUGCCUCUACCCCCCCAACGUUCCUUCGCCCUAAGAACCAAAGGUGAAUAUAUUCUAAGUGAUGGACAUCCAAACAUAGCCAAACUAAAGAGAACUUGAUGUGGGGAUAGGUGUUCUGACUCUUCUAGGAAUUCUCUGUCAACAAAGUAAUGACUUUACUGAAAAUGUUCCAUACAGCAGCAAAGGGUGCAUUUCCCAGCUAGAAUGUUGCACAGCACAUGAUAAAACCAGCACUGGUUGAAGGGAGAGCAGCUGCCGGGCUGUUCUACCCUCUAUCAGAUUGUCCCUGGGAUGAUGAAAAGUGUUCAGCUUCUAUCACUUUCUGGCCAGUGUUUAAUUUGUACAAAAUCUGAGAGACCACAGAAAUAUCCAUGUUCACAAAAUGAGAAGGCAAAGAAAACAACUUUGAGUAAGAAGGUGUAGAUACAAAGAAAUUCACCAUAUAGAAUUGAAAGUCUCAAAAUAAAUCCUCAUAUUUAUGAUCGACUGCUUUUCAACUAGG